rnacentral:lncRNA from 1 species
UAAAUAGCUUGGUCUGCUAUACAAAAAAUAAUUUUUAUUUUUUUAAAAUUUCUUUUAGUAAUUUUAUAUGCGAGUUUGUUAUGAUCUGUAAAUGAAACAGGCUAGUUACAUAAAAGAAGCAUAUUUUCCGGAUUGUUUAUUCUAAUGUUGUGCCAAAUGGCAUCUAUUGUUAACCUUUAUUUUGUGCUAUUUAUUUCAAGAUCAUAUGAGGCAGAACUGAAUUAUCAGAAAAGAAAAACUCAAGUCCAGAGGGAGAGUCCUCAGAUAUUGCUUCUAGAGCAUUUCGGUGCCUCCCUAGAAAGUGUGAUCGGGUGAGUUGCUGUGGUUCACACAUUGGCUGCGGGUGUGACAAUGGAUUAAGUGCAACAUUUUCUCAAUAUGCUUGGCUCGUAUUCAGCUUACAAGGAGAGGUGGGAUCCACCUGAAUUUCAACUUUCUUGAACACCAUAAAGUACGUUCAUCUGCAAUCCCAUAUUCCUGUUUUUCAUAGCUUCUGGUACUUGUACCAUUCUGACGUUUUCCGUGUCUUUGAACGAACAGACUCCUCCUUUAGGAGGCCGUAUGAAAUGUGGAUGGCGAGCUUUUUCUAGCCCACCGACUCCCUGCUCAAUUAUUUCGAGGCCUUGUUAGCUCGUUUGAACGAGGCCUCGAAGCAUAGCCACUUCUCAGAAAUGUGCACACCAGUACCCAUUUCCAUAUUCGCAUGACUUGUGUCCACUAGAAUUCUAAUGAACACUUCUGCUAUAUGGUCGUCAAGUAAUUAAUUUCUUAAGGAUUGAUACUAUGUUAUAGUAGUGAUGAAUCCUCUUUUGUGCGAUGGCCUCUCAUCCUAGCCUAUGGCUGAAUUUCACAUGUGAUGGUGCUGUUGCUGAGCUUAGCUAAGAAUGCAGCCUAUAUUGGCAUAAUGAGACAAGAUUGGAAAAGCAAUAUGCUUCCUGGAAGAGGAACGAAAAUUGUGGCUGGACCAGAAGUCAUGUCAAACACAGUAAAAUUUUCUUCCAUUCUCCGAA